UAUCCUGGCUCAGGAUGAACGCUAGCGGCAGGCUUAACACAUGCAAGUCGAGGGGUAUAGUUCUUCGGAACUAGGGACCGGCGCACGGGUGCGUAACGCGUAUGCAAUCUACCUUUCACAGAGGGAUAGCCAGAGAAAUUUGGAUUAAUACCUCAUAGUAUUAUAGAAUGGCAUCAUUUUAUAAUUAAAGUCACAACGGUGAAAGAUGAGCAUGCGUCCCAUUAGCUUGUUGGUAAGGUAACGGCUUACCAAGGCUACGAUGGGUAGGGGGUCCUGAGAGGGAGAUCCCCCACACUGGUACUGAGACACGGACCAGACUCCUACGGGAGGCAGCAGUGAGGAAUAUUGGACAAUGGGCGCAAGCCUGAUCCAGCCAUGCCGCGUGCAGGAUGACGGUCCUAUGGAUUGUAAACUGCUUUUGCACAGGAAGAAACAACAUUACGUGUAAUGUCUUGACGGUACUGUGAGAAUAAGGAUCGGCUAACUCCGUG
rnacentral:rRNA from 1 species